UACGUAGGGUGCAAGCGUUAUCCGGAAUUAUUGGGCGUAAAGAGCUCGUAGGCGGUUUGUCGCGUCUGCUGUGAAAACUGGAGGCUCAACCUCCAGCCUGCAGUGGGUACGGGCAAACUAGAGUGCGGUAGGGGAGAUUGGAAUUCCUGGUGUAGCGGUGGAAUGCGUAGAUAUCAGGAGGAAUACCGAUGGCGAAGGCAGGUCUCUGGGCUGACACUGACGCUCAUGCACGAAAGCGUGGGGAGCAAACAGG
rnacentral:rRNA from 1 species